CAAUUUUAAAAUAAAUAUGUGCCACAGAGAACGUUGAGCAGGACAGAGAGAUGGUGACUUCUGAUGGGAAAAAUCAGUGCUGUCUUGGCUCAUUCUUGCCUUGAUGGAGGAAGAAAGUUUGGCUUCUCAAGGCAGGGAGGCUGAGGUUUUUAUCAACGCUGCUGCGUCUCUGUAAAGAUUCUGGCUGGGGGUAGGGUUUCCUUUAUCUCAGCAGAUGUAGGCUUAGGAAAACAGGAUCCAGGAGACUCAACAUGGCGGGCGGCUUGAACCAGAGCUUAAUUCUCAGCUCCUCAUCCAUCUCCUUAAUGAGCUGUGAGGGUGGACAAGUCACCUCCCCUCUGCUGCUGCCUCAAAAGAGUGAGGUCAAAGGCCCUCAGUCAGCGUGGCUGGUCUCUGUGAGCAAGGAUGGAUGUGCCCCCAAGGAGGUUCCUGCUGAUGGUAUCCGCUCUCUGGCUGGUGUCCUGAACUGGCCCCUGAGUUGGCCCGGGCCACACUGGACGUGCUCUAUGUGCAGGUGUGUGCAAGGCUAUUGUGAAGCUCUUGUGAAUCGCUCCUCUCUGACCCCGGGAAACGCUUUCAGAGACAACCCCCAAGACACAAGAGACUGUCCUCGGGAGGCCCAGAACUUGUCCCACCCCCUUCUUCUUUAG
rnacentral:lncRNA from 1 species